AUGAGCCACAGACUGACACGUUUGGUGACACGCGGAAAGAGAGGCAGAAAGGUGCCCAUACUUCUUCUUGAGCGCACAAAAGCUUCGCUUGACUUCCUGGUUGAAAAACGGAGGGAAGUUGGCAUACUUGAGGAGAACCCCUUUCUGUUUGCCAGGCUUAGCACAACAACCAAUCUCCGUGGGUGUGACUGCCUCAGAAGAUAUGCAGAAGAGAGCAAGGCCAAAAACCCAGAACUGCUGAGAUCAACAAGGUUGAGGAAACAUGUUGCUACCUUAUGUCAGCUUCUCGACCUCAGCAAUCAGGAACUUGAGCAAGUUGCUCGUUUUAUGGGACAUGAUAUCCGAGUCCACUGCGAGUAUUAUCGACAGACAGAUAAAACAUUCCAAGUGGCCAAGAUUGGCAAACUUCUGUUUGCGAUGGAGCAUGGAGCAGAGUCACUGAAAGGGAAGAGUCUGCAAACACUGGACUCCGUUAUCAGUGGCAAAAGACACGCAGCCACCCCAACUAAAGAUCUGAAAGGUGUCAAAAAGAGAAGGACGUCAGAUGCAGGAAUUCAACAGGAAGCUCAUGAAGAUGGACUGGUGCACCAGGAGAUAGGUGGAGGACAAAUGGAGAGAACUGCAGAAAAACAUGAUGAUGGUAAGUCUGUAACUUUGGCACUAAUUAAGUGUUCUGAAAUCAGUGUUAAGUAUUUUUACUUCAUGGAGGGGUCCAUUCUGUUUUUUUACAUUCCAAAAUAUCAGUAAUCAAAUACGAAGGUCUAUCCUCAAAGUGUAUAAAAGUGUGUCUGAACAUUUCCAUACAUGAUAGAUUACAAAACAACAGACAUAAUAAUAACAAGACAUUGGUAAAUUUAUGGCAAAUUAUAUUUUGCUUUAAUGUUUGUGCAUUGUACUUUAAAAGGGAAAUUUCACCCGUUGGAACAUUAAUCUUUAUUGAAAGUGGGUCAUAUAUGUAGUCGAAAUGGAACACAAAUUUAGAAUUUGGUGCGUAUUUGACAGAGAAAAGACAGAACGUGACUUAAGGGCGCAUUAUGGAAGACAACAACUCCCACAAUGCACAGCUCUGCAAG
ensembl:lncRNA